rnacentral:rRNA from 1 species
UACGUAGGUGGCGAGCGUUAUCCGGAAUUAUUGGGCGUAAAGAGCGCGCAGGUGGUUGAUUAAGUCUGAUGUGAAAGCCCACGGCUUAACCGUGGAGGGUCAUUGGAAACUGGUCGACUUGAGUGCAGAAGAGGGAAGUGGAAUUCCAUGUGUAGCGGUGAAAUGCGUAGAGAUAUGGAGGAACACCAGUAGCGAAGGCGGCUUCCUGGUCUGUAACUGACACUGAGGCGCGAAAGCGUGGGGAGCGAACAGGAUUAGAUA